rnacentral:rRNA from 1 species
AGCGAACGCUGGCGGCAGGCCUAACACAUGCAAGUCGAACGAACCUUUCGGGGUUAGUGGCGGACGGGAGUGAAACGCGUGGGAACGUGCCUUUAGGUUCGGAAUAACUCAGGGAAAGUUGUGCUAAUACCGAAUGUGCCCUUCGGGGGAAAGAUUAAUCGCCUUUAGAGCGGCCCGCGUCUGAUUAGCUAGGUGGGUGUGGUAAUGGCCCACCAAGGCGACGAUCAGUAGCUGGUCUGAGAGGAUGAUCAGCCACACUGGGACUGAGACACGGCCCAGACUCCUACGGGAGGCAGCAGUGGGGAAUCUUGCACAAUGGGCGCAAGCCUGACGCAGCCAUGCCGCGUGAAUGAUGAAGGUCUUAGGGUUGUAAAAUUCUUUCAGCGGGGACGAUAAUGACGGUACCCGGAGAAGAAGCCCCGGCUAACUUCGUG